rnacentral:lncRNA from 1 species
UUAUUUUGAUUGACAAUAUGUAAGUAGAUAUUUAUAGUGUGUAAGUGUGAUCAUAGUUUUUUGAUAUUUGUAAAAAACUGAUAAAUUAAAAGGUUAAAAGAGGAGAGGUGGUUGGCCGGAGUAUUUUUAAUGCGUUAGAUCUUCAGCAAAGGAGUAUUACAGAGGAGAUUACAUGAUAUUAAUGUGUCAGAUCUUCACCUGAUUUUCACCAGAUCUUCACAAGAUUUUCAAAUAACCCAACCCAUCGCCAAUCGGAGAUGUGUCCAUUGAGGAUAUUGUUCAUCUUUUUGUCAGCCACUCAUGUCAAGGUCGCCUCUACUAAAAAACCACUCAUACCGGAAGAUGGAGAGCAGCAAGAACCUAAAGAGAACCGAGGUAGAAGAAGAAGAAAAGCAAGAGGAAAAAAGGAGGAGAAAAAGGAAAAAAGGAAGAGAAAGAGAAAGAGGUAACUUCACCUGACAUCACUAACUUCACCUGCACAAUGGUUGCCAUUUGGUGCUGGAACAUUAAAAGUGAUCGACAUCAAAAGCCAGACAGCAGCAAGAACAUCCGGAGAACAUCAGAACGUUAUCGCGGCAAGAAUCAAAGAGAAAACGAGAAAACGAGGAAGAAGAAGAAGAGGAAAAAUUAAAAAUCAAUGUUGCCGGAACAAAUAAAGUACUGCCGUGUUUCUUCUACCGCCUUACCUCCUCCAAAGAAGAUACAGUAGGAAACGAGAUUGACGUUGAUGGACCUGCGCAGACUUGCAACCGAAAGUUGAUGGACCUGCGUAGACUUCCAGAGCGACAAGACCAGAAAAAUUUAGUUUGACACAAUUAACUGAUAAUUACUUUGACACAAUUAAGUUUGAUACAAAUAAAAAAACUAUUGCCGAAACUCAGAACGAAAAACUGGAGAACGAUAAACCCAAAACAAUCAUCUUACCUCCUCUUGAAAAUCAAAAUGGGAUGGACCAGCGCCGACAAGACAGAAC